AGCAGCCGCGGUAAUUCCAGCUCCAAUAGCGUAUAUUAAAGUUGUUGCAGUUAAAAAGCUCGUAGUUGAAUUUCGGGGUUAGUAAGUUGGUCAUGCCAUUGGUAUGCACUGGCUUUACUGAUUCCUCCUUCUUGACGAACCGUGAUGUCAUUAAUUUGGUGUUGCGGGAAAUCAGGACUGUUACUUUGAAAAAAUUAGAGUGUUUAAAGCAGGCUAACGCUUGAAUACAUUAGCAUGGAAUAAUGGAAUAGGACGUUAAUCCUAUUUUGUUGGUUUCUAGGAUCGACGUAAUGAUUAAUAGGGAUAGUUGGGGGCAUUAGUAUUCAAUUGUCAGAGGUGAAAUUCUUGGAUAUAUUGAAGACUAACUACUGCGAAAGCAUUUGCCAAGGAUGUUUUCAUUAAUCAAGAACGAAAGUUAGGGGAUCGAAGACGAUCAGAUACCGUCGUAGUCUUAACCAUAAACUAUGCC
rnacentral:rRNA from 1 species